CAGCAGCCGCGGUAAUACGAAGGGGGCUAGCGUUGUCCGGAAUCAUUGGGCGUAAAGCGCGUGUAGGCGGCUCGAUAAGUCUGCUGUGAAAGUUCAGGGCUCAACCCUGAAAUGCCGGUGGAAACUGUCGAGCUUGAGUCCGGAAGAGGCAAGUGGAAUUCCUGGUGUAGCGGUGAAAUGCGCAGAUAUCAGGAGGAACACCAAUGGCGAAGGCAGCUUGCUGGGACGGUACUGACGCUGAGACGCGAAAGCGUGGGGAGCAAACAGGAUUAGAUACCCCCGUAGUCCCUGUCUCUUAUAC
rnacentral:rRNA from 1 species